rnacentral:rRNA from 1 species
CCUACGGGCGGCUGCAGUGAGGAAUAUUGCACAAUGGAGGAAACUCUGAUGCAGCAACGCCGCGUGGAGGAUGACGCAUUUCGGUGUGUAAACUCCUUUUAAGAGGGAAGAUAAUGACGGUACCUCUUGAAUAAGCACCGGCUAACUCCGUGCCAGCAGCCGCGGUAAUACGGAGGGUGCAAGCGUUACUCGGAAUCACUGGGCGUAAAGGGUGCGUAGGCUGGCUUCUAAGUCAGAUGUGAAAUCCAAUGGCUUAACCAUUGAACUGCAUUUGAAACUGGGAGCCUAGAGUUCAGAAGGGGCAGAUGGAAUUAGUGGUGUAGGGGUAAAAUCCGUAGAUAUCACUAGGAAUAUCAAAAGCGAAGGCGAUCUGCUGGGAUGAUACUGACGCUGAGGCACGAAAGCGUGGGGAGCAAACAGGAUUAGAUACCCGUGUAGUC